CGAAUACGAGAUACUAAGGUAUCGAAGUGGUUGAUGUCAUGCUUCCAAGAAAAGCUCGAAAUAUCAUAAACAAUAAAUGCCUGUACCUUAAACCGACACAGGUAGGUAGGUAGAGUAUACCAAGGGGCGCGAGAUAACUCUCUCUAAGGAACUCGGCAAAAUAACCUCGUAACUUCGGAAGAAGAGGUACCCUUGAAAGAGGGUUGCAAUAACCAGACCCUGGCGACUGUUUACCAAAAACACAGGUCUCCGCUAAUUCGUAAGAUUAUGUAUGGAGGCUGACGCCUGCCCAGUGCCGGAAGGUUAAAGAAGUUGGUCAGUCUUCGGAUGAAGCUAGCGACUGAAGCCCCGGUGAACGGCGGCCGUAACAAUAACGGUCCUAAGGUAGCGAAGUUCCUUGUCGGGUAAGUUCCGACCCGCACGAAAGGCGUAACGAUCAGGGUGCUGUCUCGGAGAGAGGCUCGGCGAAAUAGACAUGUCUGUGAAGAUGCGGACUACCUGCACCUGGACAGAAAGACCCUAUGAAGCUUUACUGUAUCUUGGAAUUGGGUUUGGGCCUUGUUUGCGCAGGAUAGGUGGGAGGCUUUGAAGAUACUCUUGCGGGAGUAUUGGAGCCAAUGGUGAGAUACCACUCUAGCAAGGCUAAAAUCCUAACUUUGAACCGUUAUCCGGUCGAAGAACAGUUUCAGGUGGGCAGUUUGACUGGGGCGGUCGCCUCCUAAAAGGUAACGGAGGCGUGCAAAGGUUCCCUCAGGCUGGUCGGACAUCAGUCGUAGAGUGUAAAGGCAUAAGGGAGCUUGACUGCGAGACCUACAAGUCGAACAGAGACGAAAGUCGGCCUUAGUGAUCCGACGGUUCCGAGUGGAAGGGCCGUCGCUCAACGGAUAAAAGUUACUCUAGGAUAACAGGCUGAUCUCCCCCAAGAGUUCAUAUCGACGGGGAGGUUUGGCACCUCGAUGUCGGCUCAUCGCAUCCUGGGGCGGUAGUACGUCCCAAGGGUUGGGCUGUUCGCCCAUGAAAGCGGUACGCGAGCUGGGUUCAGAACGUCGUGAGACAGUUCGGUCCAUAUCCGGUGCAGGCGCUAGAGUAUUGAGAGGAGUCUCCCUUAGUACGAGAGGACCGGGGAGAAUACACCGCUGGUGUACCAGUUAUCGUGCCAACGGUACACGCUGGGUAGCCAAGUGUAGAGUGGAUAACUGCUGAAAGCAUCUAAGUAGGAAGCCCACCUCAAGAUGAGUACUCUCACCGCUAUAAGCGGUUAAGAUCACGGGAAGAACACCCGUUAUAUAGGCACUAAGUGUAAGUACAGUAAUGUAUUCAGCUGAGGUGUACUAACAGAUCGAAGGCUUG
rnacentral:rRNA from 1 species